GACGAACGCUGGCGGCGUGCUUAACACAUGCAAGUCGAACGGAAAGGCCCUGCUUUUGUGGGGUGCUCGAGUGGCGAACGGGUGAGUAACACGUGAGUAACCUGCCCUUGACUUUGGGAUAACUUCAGGAAACUGGGGCUAAUACCGGAUAGGAGCUCCUGCUGCAUGGUGGGGGUUGGAAAGUUUCGGCGGUUGGGGAUGGACUCGCGGCUUAGCAGCUUGUUUGUGUGGUAGUGGCUUACCAAGGCUUUGACGGGUAGCCGGCCUGAGAGGGUUACCGGGCACAUUGGGACUGAGAGACGGCGCAGACUCCUACGGGAGGCAGCAGGGGGGAAUAUUGCACAAUGGGCGGAAGCCUGAUGCAGCAACGCCGCGUGCGGGAUGACGGCCUUCGGGUUGUAAACCGCUUUCGCCUGUGACGAAGCGUGAGUGACGGUAAUGGGUAAAGAAGCACCGGCUAACUACGUG
rnacentral:rRNA from 1 species